GAAGAGUGCCUCAAGUGCUUGUCUCUGACCUCAUUCUGAUGCCCACACUCAGCACCGACCUCUCAGGUUUCUAGAAACUGCCAACCAAACCUUCGGACACCACCAAGGCCCCGCCCCCAAUGUCAUAAGGCCAUAGAAAGGGUCUCCUUUGCUCAACUUUUUCACCCAAGACCACAAACCUUGGUGAGAGACGGUCAAGACCCAACAAGGAUGAUGAGAUCCCCUGAGGUCCUUCUCACUCUCCACGGGCCACCUCCCCGGCUUGGGGUAUAUUUUGGCCUCCAGCGACUUGACCUGGCACUGCCGUUGGGCUAUGAGAGCAACUCUGGCUGCACUAACAUCCUGGACCUACUUGGGAGGUGAUCUUAGCUCAGGACUAACGAGAUGGGAGCCUUAGAAGGAAGCUCCCUGGCACCAGAGCGGGUGGCAAUCUCUGAGGUAUAGAUUGUUUUCCCUGAGCUCCUCUGGAGAGGAGCCCCUCACCCUGGGGGAGAGUGGGAUUUUGCGCGACCUUGGCUUUCGCUGGGUCCUGCUGCCUGUGGAGAACAGGCCAGCUCCACCUGGAAGCAUUUUCU
rnacentral:lncRNA from 1 species